UACGGGAGGCAGCAGUGGGGAAUAUUGCACAAUGGGCGAAAGCCUGAUGCAGCUAUGCCGCGUGUAUGAAGAAGGCCUUAGGGUUGUAAAGUACUUUCAUCGGGGAGGAAAAACAAAACUAAUAAUUUUAUUUCUUGACGUUACCCGAAAAAGAAGCACCGGCUAACUCCGUGCCAGCAGCCGCGGUAAUACGGAGGGUGCUAGCGUUAAUCAGAAUUACUGGGCGUAAAGAGCACGUAGGUGGUUUUUUUAAGUCAGAUGUGAAAUCCCUGGGCUUAACCUAGGAACUGCAUUUUGAAACUGAAAUACUAGAGUAUCGUAGAGGGAGGUAGAAUUCUAGGUGUAGCGGUGAAAUGCGUAGAUAUCUGGAGGAAUACCUGUGGCGAAAGCGGCCUCCUAAACGAAUACUGACACUGAGUGCGAAAGCGUGGGGAGCAAAACAGGGAUUAGAUACC
rnacentral:rRNA from 1 species